UUAAGUGAUGACAAGUGUAAUCAACAUUUUAAAGUGACUAGCCAAUGGCGAUGUUGUCUGCUAAGUUAACCAUCUUUCGGGACUGAUC
rnacentral:snoRNA from 1 species